CCUACGGGAGGCAGCAGUGGGGAAUUUUGGACAAUGGGCGCAAGCCUGAUCCAGCCAUGCCGCGUGCGGGAAGAAGGCCUUCGGGUUGUAAACCGCUUUUGUCAGGGAAGAAAAGGUUCUGGAUAAUACCUGGGACUCAUGACGGUACCUGAAGAAUAAGCACCGGCUAACUACGUGCCAGCAGCCGCGGUAAUACGUAGGGUGCAAGCGUUAAUCGGAAUUACUGGGCGUAAAGCGUGCGCAGGCGGUUAUGCAAGACAGAGGUGAAAUCCCCGGGCUCAACCUGGGAACUGCCUUUGUGACUGCAUAGCUAGAGUACGGUAGAGGGGGAUGGAAUUCCGCGUGUAGCAGUGAAAUGCGUAGAUAUGCGGAGGAACACCGAUGGCGAAGGCAAUCCCCUGGACCUGUACUGACGCUCAUGCACGAAAGCGUGGGGAGCAAACAGGAUUAGAUACCCUGGUAGUCCACGCCCUAAACGAUGUCAACUGGUUGUUGGGAGGGUUUCUUCUCAGUAACGUAGCUAACGCGUGAGUUGACCGCCUGGGGNGGACGGCGCGAGUAGUUAACGUUAGAAGAAGUUAGAGGCGNGNGACGNGCGACGGACGACGACGAGGGAGGAGG
rnacentral:rRNA from 1 species